UUCAACUUGAGAGUUUGAUCCUGGCUCAGAACGAACGCUGGCGGCAGGCUUAACACAUGCAAGUCGAGC
rnacentral:rRNA from 1 species